CUUACUUUAGCAAAUUAGUGCAUUAAAUUUAGGAUUUAAGCAAGUGAUUUUAAAAAAUCAUAGGUAAGA
rnacentral:tRNA from 1 species